ACUGGUUGGUUGUGAUGCUUGGACACUGAAGACCUAAGCAAUGUGGCCGCCUAUUCACAGCUUUGCUAAUUUUGGCUGUAAUCGCUCAGCAUGGGCGUCAAGGAUUCAAUCUCUCAAGAACGCGCUUGAAUUCUACGGAUAUCAAGCAGGUUUGGAUCCGAUAUGGGUCGAACGACUGAUAUACAGAAGUGUAGACUGUUCCUGUGGUCUUCUCAAGAUCAAACCUGUGGUGCAACGCCCUGGACCGCUUCCGGUUUCCUACGCUGGCGUUGGCAGGACUGGCGGGGAACAAAAGUCUUGGCGAGUAGCCCGUAGAGUUUCAACACUUUUCUCCCUGUG